ACUCCUACGGGAGGCAGCAGUGGGGAAUUUUGGACAAUGGGGGAAACCCUGAUCCAGCAAUGCCGCGUGAGUGAAGAAGGCCUUCGGGUUGUAAAGCUCUUUUGUCAGGGAAGAAAUUGAUUGGGCUAAUAUCCCGAUUAGAUGACGGUACCUGAAGAAUAAGCACCGGCUAACUACGUGCCAGCAGCCGCGGUAAUAC
rnacentral:rRNA from 1 species